UACGUAGGGUGCGAGCGUUGUCCGGAAUUAUUGGGCGUGAAGGGCUCGUAGGCGGUUUGUCGCGUCGGGAGUGAAAUCCACUGGCUUAACUGGUGGCUUGCUUUCGAUACGGGCAGACUGGAGGUAUGCAGGGGAGAACGGAAUUCCUGGUGUAGCGGUGAAAUGCGCAGAUAUCAGGAGGAACACCGGUGGCGAAGGCGGUUCUCUGGGCAUGUCCUGACGCUGAGGAGCGAAAGUGUGGGGAGCGAACAGG
rnacentral:rRNA from 1 species